rnacentral:rRNA from 1 species
GGGGUGUGGUGUCUACCAUGCAGUCGAGCGGAUGAAGGGAGCUUGCUCCUGGAUUCAGCGGCGGACGGGUGAGUAAUGCCUAGGAAUCUGCCUGGUAGUGGGGGAUAACGUCCGGAAACGGGCGCUAAUACCGCAUACGUCCUGAGGGAGAAAGUGGGGGAUCUUCGGACCUCACGCUAUCAGAUGAGCCUAGGUCGGAUUAGCUAGUUGGUGGGGUAAAGGCCUACCAAGGCGACGAUCCGUAACUGGUCUGAGAGGAUGAUCAGUCACACUGGAACUGAGACACGGUCCAGACUCCUACGGGAGGCAGCAGUGGGGAAUAUUGGACAAUGGGCGAAAGCCUGAUCCAGCCAUGCCGCGUGUGUGAAGAAGGUCUUCGGAUUGUAAAGCACUUUAAGUUGGGAGGAAGGGCAGUAAGUUAAUACCUUGCUGUUUUGACGUUACCAACAGAAUAAGCACCGGCUAACUUCGUGCCAGCAGCCGCGGUAAUACUA